rnacentral:rRNA from 1 species
GAUGAACGCUGGCGGCGUGCCUAAUACAUGCAAGUCGAGCGAACAGACGAGGAGCUUGCUCCUCUGACGUUAGCGGCGGACGGGUGAGUAACACGUGGAUAACCUACCUAUAAGACUGGGAUAACUUCGGGAAACCGGAGCUAAUACCGGAUAAUAUAUUGAACCGCAUGGUUCAAUAGUGAAAGACGGUUUUGCUGUCACUUAUAGAUGGAUCCGCGCCGCAUUAGCUAGUUGGUAAGGUAACGGCUUACCAAGGCAACGAUGCGUAGCCGACCUGAGAGGGUGAUCGGCCACACUGGAACUGAGACACGGUCCAGACUCCUACGGGAGGCAGCAGUAGGGAAUCUUCCGCAAUGGGCGAAAGCCUGACGGAGCAACGCCGCGUGAGUGAUGAAGGUCUUCGGAUCGUAAAACUCUGUUAUUAGGGAAGAACAAAUGUUUAAGUAACUAUGCACGUCUUGACGGUACCUAAUCAGAAAGCCACGGCUAACUACGUG